rnacentral:rRNA from 1 species
GACGAACGCUGGCGGCGUGCCUAACACAUGCAAGUCAACUUGACUGAAGGAGCAAUCUGACAGUAGAGUGGCGCAAGGGUGCGUAACGCGUAAGUAACUUGCCCCAAGGUAAGGAAUAACGUCGAGAAAUCGGCGCUAAUACCUCAUAAUGCAGCGGAUCCGCAUGGAUAUGUUGUUAAAGGUUUACCGCCUUGGGAUAGGCUUGCGUCUGAUUAGUUAGUUGGUGUGGUAACGGCACACCAAGGCUACGAUCAGUAACUGGUCUGAGAGGAUGAUCAGUCACACUGGAACUGAGACACGGUCCAGACUCCUACGGGAGGCAGCAGUGAGGAAUAUUGGGCAAUGCUCGAAAGAGUGACCCAGCAACGCCGCGUGGAGGAUGAAGGUAUUCUAUAUCGUAAACUCCUGUGAGAGCAGACGAAAGACAGAUUAUUAAUCUGGAUGACUGUAUGCUCAGA